rnacentral:lncRNA from 1 species
GUGAACCUGGGACUGGGAGGGACAGCCUGCUGAGGACUGAGAGCGUGGGACACUUAUGACUGUCACACUCCUUCUCUGCAAAUCUUCCUCUAAAAGGCUUCCCAGGGCUUGGCUCUGCUUGGUUCUCUGAGCUCCUCCUGCAGGCAGCUGCCUUUCAGUUCACUAUUGUAUCCCAGUGAAUCCAAAAUUAGCUUGAUUCACAACAGAAAAUGAGCACAAAACCCCUCUAUAGCCAGAGAGUGAUUGUCUACAAAGUCCUAUGUGGUAGAAAUAAGGCUUUGCCCCAAGGAGCCAUCUGGCUGUGUGCCCUCUCCCACACGCACACUUCCAUUUGGCACACUUAUUGUUAUCCUGUGCUGUGAGGGAACAGAGGUACUGGCCACGGAUCCAUUGCAGAGGAGCCAGCUUAUACUCCCACGGUGCUAGGAAGGAGGCGGGACAGAUGAAAACAUCGAGGCUUAGAGGGGUUUCUGAGUAGCUGAGAAGUCAGGACUUCACACUCCCGAUCUUUCCCCUGGCCUCCAGUUUGCCUGGCAAAGUCACAGGAAGUAUCUCCAUGGCACCGCAUCAGCCCUCACAGAGCAGGAAACCUUGAUUUCUACAGAGGCUGUUUCCUCCCAGCCUUGUGCAAGGCCCACUGCAGAGACAAAAUUAUGGUGGCCAAAGUGUGAAUGCCAAGGCCACACUGGCCUCCAUCCCUGGGAUUUGCUGGUAGAAGAAAGGGAAUCAGCGCUGACUGAGCUCCUACUAUGUGCCCUUCCUGGGCCUGGCACUGGAAUCACAGGAUGAAUGAAUAAGGCAUAUUUCCUGCCCUGAGGAGGCGUCUAUAGGGGAAGUCGGAAUUAAGGCACCUCCAGAAUUCUGAGGUCAAGGGAAUGUCAACAGAGCUGUGAACAAAAUGCCCAAAGCCAUGAAAAUCUACAGAGAGAGACUCGAAGGGGAGGAAUGGGGUAGGAGCUGGUGCCGAGGAUGAGAGGGGAGAAUUCACCUGGUGGAGAACUGAUAGGCCAGGCUGAGGUCGGGAUGGUGGAGGAGGUGGUGGAGGUGAUGAGGUACCAGAGCAACCUCGAAGAAAGCUGAGAGGCAGGAGACCGCCAAAGGCAAACUUGGAACACCUGGUGACUCCGACUAACUCUCCAUGUGGUGUCCUUGAGGACUUUUAUGAUACUGCUACCACUGCUAAUAGUAAUAAAAGCCACUAUUUAAUGUGUUUACUAUGCGCUGGGUGUGCAAAUAUUGUGGAAAGAGUGAACAUAUGUGCAGAAUGCUUAAUAAACGUGAUCUCCUUUUAUCUUCAAAAGAACAAUACAGGCCAGGUGCGGUGGCUCAUGCCUAUAAUUCCAGCACUUUGGGAGGCCGAGGCAGAUGGAUUGCUUGAGCUCAAGAAGUUUCAGACCAGCCUGGGCAACAUGGCAAAACCCCAUCUCUACAAAAAAAUACCCAAAAAAUUAGCCAGGUGUGAUGUUGCCUGCCUGUGGUCCCAGCUACUCCAGAGGUUGAGGUGGGAGAAUCGCGUGAGCCCAGAAGGUCAAGGCUGCAGUGAGCUGUGAUCCUGCCACUGCACUCCAGCCUGGGGUGACAGAGUGAGACCCUGCCUAAAAAAAAAAGAAUCAAUACGAUUAAUACUUUUACUUCUAUUUUUCAGACAAGGAAAUUGAGGCUCAGAGAGGUUAGGAACUUGCCAGAAGACCUACCAGCAAGUGGCAGAGCUAAGGUCCCAUCUGACCCCAAAGCCCACCCAUAACCGCUAUGCAGUACUGUCCAGGCAGAAACACAAACAUUACCCCAUUGUUUUUAUUCUUCAACACCUUUGGUAUCAUCCAGUCCCAGGACACUGGCUCCUGAGGAAGGAAGGCCCCUCCCACAUCCUUUAAAAUUCCCAGGCAUAAAACCAUGUUCACCAGCCACCGUGAGGGUAAGCCUCAGAGACAGGGACCGUGCCCAC